rnacentral:tRNA from 1 species
GAGGCUUUAUUUUAAUAAAAGAGUCUGAGUUGCGCUCAGAAGAUGUGGAUUAGCAUUCUGCAAGCCUUA